rnacentral:rRNA from 1 species
AACGAACGCUGGCGGCAGGCCUAACACAUGCAAGUCGAGCGAGACCUUCGGGUCUAGCGGCGGACGGGUUAGUAACGCGUGGGAACGUGCCCUUCUCUGCGGAAUAGCCACUGGAAACGGUGAGUAAUACCGCAUACGCCCUUCGGGGGAAAGAUUUAUCGGAGAAGGAUCGGCCCGCGUUAGAUUAGAUAGUUGGUGGGUAACGGCCUACCAAGUCUACGAUCUAUAGCUGGUUUUAGAGGAUGAUCAGCAACACUGGGACUGAGACACGGCCCAGACUCCUACGGGAGGCAGCAGUGGGGAAUCUUAGACAAUGGGCGCAAGCCUGACCUAGCCAUGCCGCGUGUGUGAUGAAGGUCUUAGGAUCGUAAAGCACUUUCGCCAGGGAUAAUAAUGACAGUACCUGGUAAAGAAACCCCGGCUAACUCCGUG